rnacentral:rRNA from 1 species
GAUGAACGCUAGCUACAGGCUUAACACAUGCAAGUCGAGGGGCAGCAUUGGAGUAGCAAUACUUCAGAUGGCGACCGGCGCACGGGUGAGUAACACGUAUCCAACCUGCCGCUUACUCGGGGAUAGCCUUUCGAAAGAAAGAUUAAUACCCGAUGGUAUAAAGAGUUCGCAUGUUCUCUUUAUUAAAGAAUUUCGGUAAGCGAUGGGGAUGCGUUCCAUUAGAUUGUUGGCGGGGUAACGGCCCACCAAGUCUACGAUGGAUAGGGGUUCUGAGAGGAAGGUCCCCCACAUUGGAACUGAGACACGGUCCAAACUCCUACGGGAGGCAGCAGUGAGGAAUAUUGGUCAAUGGGCGCGAGCCUGAACCAGCCAAGUAGCGUGAAGGAUGACUGCCCUAUGGGUUGUAAACUUCUUUUAUAAGGGAAUAAAGUGAGGGACGUGUCCCUUUUUGUAUGUACCUUAUGAAUAAGGAUCGGCUAACUCCGUGCCAGCAGCCGCAGUAACAC